rnacentral:misc_RNA from 1 species
AUCAUUGUUUCAGUCAUAGAAUUGGAAUAUGUGACUAAUUUUGUGGUGGGACUUGAGGUGUUACAUGCAGUCUUGAGACGAGUGAUAGAGUGUUAGUUGUGGCAGCAGUCGACAGGUGGCGGGCCAGUUAGUUUACUCUCACACAGUCAGAGGUGCAGGCGUGAUAAAAUGUUUCACCCGGAAAACCACUUCUGAAACGAUGAAGUGCACUACUAAAACAAAAAUGUAGAUAAAUCAAAUUCUGGAUAUUUGUUCACUUAAGUGCCUUAUAAACAGCAAGAAAGUAAAGAGUUGUUAGAGGAGAAACAUGGACUUCCAGCUAGUGCAAAACUAUAUGAUGGGGUGCAAUAGAUAAGACACCCCAAGGAAUCAUGAAAGUGUUACCUGAAACAGCACAGCAAACUUACCCAUAGCUCGAAGGGAACUUGCUGUUCCUCAUACAGCAAAAUGUUACCGAGAGACUUCAGAGCUCUGUCUUGAAGAGGUCAGGAUGGAGUAUACUCGAUACAUAGUGCAAGUGUUUGUUGGGGCCUUGUCACCUCACUUUGAAGCUCUCUCAAUAGAGGUCAGCAAGCAGACCUCAGCUCAAGAAAUUGUUUUUUGUAUAGUGGAGAGACUAGGGCUUCCCAACCCACAGCACUAUGAGUUGGCUGAAGUUAUUGGCAAUGCACGGGGCCAGGAUUGCAAAGAGAGGAGGCUGGGUCCCAUGGAGAACCCUGUGGCCUUGCAGAUGCUAUGGCCCCAAGCAUCCAUUACUGAAAAGACAGAGGAGACUGACUUACAUGAAUACAGAUUUUGCCUGAGAGAAAAGAGCUCCUCUGAUUCUUUGUGGGCAGAUCCUAAUCAGCUGGAUUCACAGUUGAUUAAAGACUAUUUUUACAAAUUUUUAUAUCAACCUAAAGACAAAGAUUAUCCUGAUCUGUGUCAGCUUCCAAACCUCACUGAGCAGACCUUGCUGGAGAACCUCCGAGCCAGAUUUCAAAGAGGAUACAUUUAUACCUACGUGGGAUCCAUCCUCAUAUCUGUUAAUCCUUUCAAAUAUUAUCCAAUUUAUAAUCCUAAGUAUGUCAAGUUGUACCAGAAUCACAGACUGGGUGAACUUCCACCACACAUAUUUGCCAUAGCUGAUGCAGCAUAUCACUCAAUGCUGAAACAAAAAUGUAACCAGUGUAUAGUGAUAAGUGGAGAGAGUGGUAGUGGUAAAACAGAAGCCACACUCUUCCUGCUGCAUCAUUUGACCAUGUUGAGCCAGAAGGGGUCUCAUGGCAGUGGGGUAGAGCAGACCAUCCUCAGCUCAGGGCCAGUCUUAGAGGCUUUUGGAAAUGCUAAAACAGCCCACAACAACAACUCAAGCAGAUUUGGAAAAUUUAUCCAAGUCAGCUACAAGGAAAAUGGUCUUGUGCAAGGGGCAUGUGUUCAAAAGUACCUGCUGGAGAAGUCAAGAAUAUGUUCUCAAGCACACAAUGAGAGAAGCUACCAUGUGUUCUACUACUUACUGGCUGGAUCUUCUCCACAGUUGCGCCAGGCUCUGCAUCUUCUCAAGCCUUCAGAUUACCGCUACCUCAACCAAAGUAAAUGCUACACCAUUGAUGGUUUUGAUGAACAAUUUGAAUUUGUAAGACUGAAGCAAUCUAUGGAGAUGGUUGGAUUUACUUCAGACAAACAACAUCGACUUUUUGCUAUUCUCUCUGCUGUUCUCCUCUUGGGUAACAUCGAAUUUCAGCCAAAGAAGUCUACUUACCAUCAUGAUGAGUCUGUUUUGGUUCAAAACCCUGAGCUGGUGGUCACAAUAUCUGGUCUGUUGGGAGUGUCUGAGGAAACGCUCAUGAACGCCCUAACUUCCAAGAAAGCACGUGUUCAGGGGGAGAUUCUAGUCAUGCACUAUCGUUUGCCUGAGGCUAUUGCAGCACGAGAUGCUCUGGCAAAGUGUUUGUAUGGGGCACUUUUUGACUGGAUUGUCCUUCAGGUGAACUAUUCCUUAAUAUCUCUGAAAGAAUCUGCAAAUGAACACAAUGGAAACUCAAUUGGUGUUUUAGAUAUAUUUGGCUUUGAAGAUUUUGGCUUCUGUAAUAGGUUUGAACAGUUUUGCAUUAACUUUGCUAAUGAGCAUCUACAACACUACUUCAAUCAGCAUGUGUUUGAGUAUGAACAGGAAGAGUACCAAAGAGAAGGGAUAUCAUGGACAAAUAUUGAGUUUCAAGACAAUGUUCAGUGUCUGGCUCUAAUUGAAGGAAAGCCAGCCGGAUUGUUAUGUAUCUUGGAUGACCAGUGCAGUUUCCCAGCAGCUACCAAUGAAACCUUUCUACAGAAGAUCAACACUGUUCACAAAGAUAACAUGUACUAUGAAGUGCCUUACAAGAAAGAACUUGCUUUUAUUAUCAAACACUAUGCUGGGAAAGUAAAAUAUCAGAUAAGUGACUUCAGGGAAAAGAACUUGGACCUGAUGCGCCCAGAGUUAAUCUGUGUGUUGAAGAACAGUCGCUUCAGCAUUGUACGAGAGGUAGCUGGUGCUGAUCCGGUGGCUGUGUUUCGGUGGUCUAUCCUGAGAGCAUUCUUUCGUGCUGUUAGUGCCUUCCAUGCUGCAGCACAUAAGUAUGCUAAUAAGAAAGGGCAUGGAGAUCAAAGAAAAGUACCAAAACAGAAAAUAAGUAUUGAUAACUCCAGAAUUUUAGCAGCAAUUGAGAACACACAGAUGCGUCUCAGAAAGACUCGUCACAAUCGCUCACGGGCGCGGCUGCAUGGUCCUCGCCAUCAAAAGAACCUCAAGACUGUCAAGGCUCUUGUUCAGAAGACUCAGUCACUCACAUCACAGGGGCGGCUGCCAGGAUCUCGUAAACCCCCACACACAGUGACAGGCCAGUUCCAGCUUUCACUGCAGACACUUAUGGAAGCCCUGAACACUGCCAAUCCCUUCUUUAUUAGGUGCAUCAAAAGCAAUGCAAACAAGGCACCAAACAUGUUUGAUGAUGAGAUGGUGAUGCGACAGUUGAGGUACACUGGCAUGUUGGAAACUGUACGCAUCAGACAGGCUGGUUUCAAUGUGCGACUCUCUUAUGAAGAAUUCAUCCACCACUACAGGAUACUUCUACCCAAGGCCUUGUUAAGCUCGCAAGCAGAUGUUAGGGUCUUUCUGGAAGAGAUGAACUUAGUGGAGAGUGAAUACCAAAUGGGAAAGAGCAAGAUCUUUAUGAGAGAAUCUCAGAAGCAGAAACUUGACACACAGCUCCAUCAGACAAUCCUUUCUCGUAUCAUUGUCAUCCAGAGAUGGUACAGAACAAUUCAUCAGCGCAGACAUUUCUUGAACUUCAGAGCCAUGGUUGUCAAGAUUCAGUGUCAAGUUCGGUGUUGGCUUGCACAGCAGAAACUGAACAAGCUACGCAUAAGACAUAAUGCUGCAACCUUCAUUCAGAAAAUGUGGAGAGGUCAUUGUGUGAGAAAGUGGUAUCAGAACUUCCAUCGAGCACUUGUAGCCUUCCAGGCUUGUGCCAGGGGUAAGCUCUUCCGCCAGAAGUUCCUGGUGAUGCAAGAGGAAUGGAAGCAGAAGAAGAAAGAUGAAAGAAAGAGUCCAGUUGUAGAGGAUAUACCUGCCACACCCAUCAGUACAGUAGUAGUACCAAAUACUGGCAUCAUUACUGAAAUAAGUGAGCCAGCUCAGCCUCCACCCAGGAGAAAAUCCAUCCAUCAGAAUGCACAAAACUACAAGCUUCAACGAAGACAGAGUGAACAGUUACUCAGUGAGAGAUCUCCAGAGCCUGUCACUCAACAUUUUGAAAGACGGCUUAGUGAGGCCAGCCUUCUUCAACAACGAUCAUCUCAGCAGAUAACUAAUAAACCAGAUGAAGAGGUACAUCCUGCUUUAUCAAGCAAUAUGACCACUGAAGGGGAAAAGCUAACACACAAGCCCAAGUCAUUCAGACAUCGGCCAUACAUCAAGGUUCCAUUAGCCAGCCAAGAAGAAAUCACUUCAGGUUCAGCUGAAAAUUUGAGUUCAGGACAAACAGAGAGACGAUCAAGCUCAGGUGGUAAAGAGGACAUUACCAAACAGCAGCACCUCCAACCUCCACAAAAUGAUCUUCAGAGCAAACAUAAAAUUUCAAGACAGUUAAAAAAGCCAUUCAGAAAGAUCAUCAUGGGUAAACGAGAAGGAAGCUUGAGUGAGAGUGAAGAUAUGGUAUUUGAGUCUCAGCCUCAAACACCUACAAGUCCAAAAGACAACCUUCAAAGCCUCUCUACAGCCACUGGAACAGAGACCUCAUCCAUCAGUGUUGUAAGGGAGAAAAACACUGGUGACUCAAGCUCAAGCCCUCAUCAAAGAUCUUCAUCAAGAGAAUCAUCUACUCUGGAGGAUCAACCCAGAGCUAAGGAACCUCUGAAACCUUCUUCCAGUCUUCCAGAUGUUGUUCAAGGAUUUUCAAGUUUGGAACAAGGAAGUGUGAACUCCAUGUCUCAGUCUUCAAUUGGUGAUGACACACUUGCCCUCAAGCAUAUACUGGCUAAUUCCCCACAUUCACUGAAGCAAUCCACUCUCCUGAAGAAGGAACUUUGUACUGCCUGUGACAAAACAUUCUCAGGAUUUUUCAUCAAUUCUGGUUACAAGUGCCUCAAUUGUAAAAAAGUCUUCCAUUUACAUUGUGUAAAAGCUGCUCUUAUUGGUCCAUGCCAAGAUGUUCCAAGUGUUGGAAAAGAGAAUGCUAGUCCACAGAGCAAGAAGCCUCGACGUAUGGACCAAGAGGAAAACUGGAAUUUAACCAGAACUUCAGAGUUCAUUGACAAGUCUGAUGAAGUCAUUAAAGAUGCUUAUGAGUUAAGACGCUUGGAUGAAUAUAUAAGAAGAAAGUUGUAUGACCUGGAAGAAAAGGAGAGUUAUAAAACAGAAACCCGCACACAAAGCCUGGAUCGUACUUUUGCCAGAGAUACAGUGUCCAAAGAACCUGAAUCAAACCUUCGAUUAAGGGAUCGGAAAGACUCUCAAGUUGACCAGAUGUUUUGUCUUUCCUUACGGGAAUUCAAGAAUAAUUUAGUCUCUACCUAUUCUGUGGCAUUUCAGAAAGAUUCACCUGAUCUCAGUCUGAGGUAUAAGGACCUUAUUAAAAGCUUUGAACAGGUAAUGAACACCGUUUGUAAAGAAAAAAUGGGGAAUGAUACAUUCCCCGUCACAAUGGGAGUUAAUGCCUUCCGAGGAUUUUUGGAUGAGUUCAUCAGGGAAAAGAAGAAACCUGUUGAAGAAAAAUCAAGACGAAAAAGACACAGGCGUAAAAAGAAAAAGGUUGAGGAAGUAGUUCAUGGGAACCAUGUAUUCACUCAGAGCACAGUCAACAUUCCUACUCAGUGUGAAUUAUGCAAUUCCUUUAUAUGGCUCUCUAUGAAAGUCCUCACUUGUCAGAAAUGUAAAGUUACUUGUCACUUGAAAUGUUACAAGAAGACAGAUCCCAAGUGUUGCCAAGAUGGAUCGAAACCUGUUGUUGUGGGGACUGGAACAGCCCCUGCCAGGAGUCGAGUGUUUGGUGUACCGUUAGAAGCACUGGUUCGCCCUGGAGAAAAAAUUCCAUCAGUAGUAGACCGCCUCAUUACCAGCAUUGAACUCUAUGGGCUCUACACUGAAGGGUUGUAUCGCAAGUCAGGAGCCCAGACCAAGGUGCGAGCAGUUAAGGCACACAUGGAGAGAGAUCCUGACAAUAUUGACUUCACCAACACACCUGUUCACGUCCUAGCUACUAUCCUUAAGUUCUUUUUGCGCGAGUUACCUGAGCCACUCCUAACUUUUGAAUGCUAUGAUGCCCUCCUACAUGCUACUGAGCUGCAAGAUGAGGAAGAUCAGCUACAGACAAUCUUCAGUAUCAUUAAGGGCAUCCCAAAGCUCAACUUUGAUCUACUAGAGAGGCUGGUUUUCCACAUGGUUCGAGUAGCCCAGCAUGAAGAACACAACCGUAUGAGUGCCAAUGCCUUAGCCAUUGUGUUUGCGCCAUGCAUACUUCGCAGCCAAAGGUCACAGACUGUCCAGGAUUCUCUCAACGAUAUUGUCAAACAGACAUCGGUUAUGGAAGUAAUAGUAGUGCAGCAACUGAGACGGGUGCAAAUGACUCUUCAAGAUAUAGACUCUGUGGAUAGUGAAACUGUUACUGCUGGGGAACGCCUGGAUUGCAUUCGUUCAUCAAAGCCAAUAAUGUAUGAAAGAUGUGUCUCCCAGACUGAGGGGGCAACAGCCUCUAUUCUGUCACAUGAUUCAUCAGUUGUUGGCAUACAGAGUGCAUUUGUGGAUCCAAGUGAAGAAGAUUUGCAGGAAAGACUGGAGCAUCUUCGUGACACUAGAAUUCGCUUGGAACUCCAGCUACCAACCCUGGCGCGUGUGAGCUCAGAGGAAGAUCUUUUGUCAACUGACAUGUCCCUUGCUGGAUCUAUGGAAGAUAUAUCUGGAAUGUCUGUUCCUUCAACACCCUCAGUUCAAGGGUGUGAAGACUCAGAUACACUUUUAUUGUCAGACAGCUGAGGACAGCUGCAUAGCAUAGGCUGCCCAGCCUGUUUCCACCAUGCCCUACUGGAGUCCACUGGUUCCUCGACAACAUCACUCCCUGCAGGCAUCACAUGUAACAUCAUCUCUGAGUCCCUCAGUAGUCUUGAUGUGACAGGCAAACAGAAGGGAGGAGCAGCAUCUUGGAAACCAGAAAAGAGUGGUGAGGAUGGAAGCGUUACUUCAAGAAUCCACCAGGAUUACAGUGAUGAUGCAGUAAUGGUUUAGCAUCACUU